AACGAGAAAGCAGGAGCAAUCUUGUGAGUAAAGUGGCGUACGGGUGAGUAACACGUGGAUCAUCUACCCUCUUGUGGGGGAUAACCCUGGGAAACCGGAGCUAAUACCGCAUAAGUCCGAGAGGAGAAAGCAGCAAUGCGCAGGAGGAGGAGUCCGCGGCCGAUUAGCUAGUUGGUGGGGUAAGAGCCCACCAAGGCAACGAUCGGUAGCCGGCCUGAGAGGGCACACGGCCACACUGGCACUGAAACACGGGCCAGACUCCUACGGGAGGCAGCAGUGGGGAAUCUUGCACAAUGGGGGCAACCCUGAUGCAGCGACGCCGCGUGAGCGAUGAAGCCCUUCGGGGUGUAAAGCUCUUUCGGCAGGGAAGAUUAUGACGGUACCUGCAGAAGCAGCUGCGGCUAACUACGUGCCAGCAGCCGCGGUAAUACGUAGGCAGCAAGCGUUGUUCGGAGUUACUGGGCGUAAAGGGUGUGUAGGCGGUCUUCUAAGUUUGGUGUGAAAUCUCCCGGCUCAACUGGGGAGGGUGCGCCGAAAACUGGGAGGCUAGAGUGCGGGAUGGGGAGAGUGGAAUUCCUGGGUGUAGCGGUUGAAAUGCGUAGAUAUCAGGAGGAACACCUGUGGGUGUAGACGGGCUCUCUGGACCGCAACUGACGCUGAGACACGAAAGCGUGGGUAGCAAACAGGAUUAGAUACCCUGGUAGUCCACGCCCU
rnacentral:rRNA from 1 species